ACGCGGCCCUGGAGGAGGUGGU
rnacentral:miRNA from 1 species